GGAGCAAUUCUGAGUGGCUAAGCGAAAGUGAUAAGUAACCCACCUGGGGAGAACGUUCGCAAGAAUGAAACUCAAAGGAAUUGACGGGGGCCCGCACAAGCGGUGGAGCAUGUGGUUUAAUUCGAUGAUACGCGAGGAACCUUACCAGGGCUUAAAUGUAGCUUGACCGAUUUGGAAACAGAUCUUUCGCAAGACAAGUUACAAGGUGCUGCAUGGUUGUCGUCAGCUCGUGCCGUGAGGUGUCAGGUUAAGUCCUAUAACGAGCGCAACCCCUGUUGUUAGUUGCCAGCGAGUAAUGUCGGGAACUCUAACAAGACUGCCGGUGCAAACCGUGAGGAAGGUGGGGAUGACGUCAAAUCAUCACGGCCCUUACGUCCUGGGCCACACACGUGCUACAAUGGUAGGGACAGAGAGCAGCCACUGGGUGACCAGGAGCGAAUCUACAAACCCUAUCUCAGUUCGGAUCGGAGUCUGCAAACUCGACUCCGUGAAGCUGGAAUCGCUAGUGAUCGCAUAUCGGCCAUGAUGCGGUGAAUACGUUCCCGGGCCUUGUACACACCGCC
rnacentral:rRNA from 1 species